rnacentral:piRNA from 1 species
UGGUAUCGGUCCCAUAAUGUGCUUCCGAUG